rnacentral:lncRNA from 1 species
UCUGUGGCCUCACAACUCUUACUGGAUCACAGUGGACAUCAGGAUUUAUAGACACAACUGAUUAGUCUGCAUGUUGCAAACUGCUCCUACGGUGGCCAUGAAAGCUCUCCCAAGUAGUAGAGAAUGAUUCUUGUUCUGCUUGUUUUCCAGGAUAUGGAAUUCAGCUGGAACUAGUGCAUUGUCAAUCUGCACCUCAAGAUCUCUGAUGAUUCCUCCUGGGUUCCUCGUAGAAUGAUCCACGAAAGUGAAUGAAUCAUGUGAAGGCUCUAUCUUCAGACCCAGAUGGUCUGCCAUUACCUUGGGUAGUAUGCUGACUGAUGAACCUGUAUCACGCAACACACAUGGAAACUCAAUGCCCUUGACCAAAGAUGGCACUGCAAAUUUCCCAGGAUUACUCUUCUUCUUUAGUGUAAUCCUCUACUUCAUCUUCUUUCUAAUCUGAUC